rnacentral:sRNA from 1 species
GUCCAUGUUGCAGUGGACCAGAGCCAGAACGCUCCGAGCGUGAUGCACGCAGCCGGCCAGUACCUUGUCGUCAGGACGAGCAGGCUGGCUGC